UGACAUUCCAGGACACUGCCAGCAUGU
rnacentral:piRNA from 1 species